UGACCUCGGAUCAGGUAGGGAUACCCGCUGAACUUAAGCAUAUCAAUAAGCGGAGGAAAAGAAACCAACAGGGAUUGCCCUAGUAACGGCGAGUGAAGCGGCAACAGCUCAAAUUUGAAAUCUGGCUCUUUCAGGGUCCGAGUUGUAAUUUGCAGAGGGCGCUUUGGCGUUGGCAGCGGUUCAAGUUCCUUGGAACAGGACGUCACAGAGGGUGAGAAUCCCGUACGUGGUCGCUAACCUUCGCCGUGUAAAGCCCCUUCGACGAGUCGAGUUGUUUGGGAAUGCAGCUCUAAAUGGGAGGUAAAUUUCUUCUAAAGCUAAAUACUGGCCAGAGACCGAUAGCGCACAAGUAGAGUGAUCGAAAGAUGAAAAGCACUUUGGAAAGAGAGUCAAACAGCACGUGAAAUUGUUGAAAGGGAAGCGCUUGCAGCCAGACUUGCCUGUAGUUGCUCAUCCGGGCUUUUGCCCGGUGCACUCUUCUGCGGGCAGGCCAGCAUCAGUUUGGGCGGUUGGAUAAAGGUCUCUGUCAUGUACCUCUCUUCGGGGAGGCCUUAUAGGGGAGACGACAUGCAACCAGCCUGGACUGAGGUCCGCGCAUUUGCUAGGAUGCUGGCGUAAUGGCUGUAAGCGGCCCGUCUUGAAACACGGACCAAGGAGUCUAACAUCUAUGCGAGUGUUUGGGUGUCAAGCCCGAGCGCGUAAUGAAAGUGAACGGAGGUGGGACCCCAUUAGGGUGCACCAUCGACCGAUCCUGAUGUCUUCGGAUGGAUUUGAGUAAGAGCAUGGCUGUUGGGACCCGAAAGAUGGUGAACUAUGCUUGAAUAGGGUGAAGCCAGAGGAAACUCUGGUGGAGGCUCGCAGCGGUUCUGACGUGCAAAUCGAUCGUCAAAUUUGGGCAUAGGGGCGAAAGACUAAUCGAACUAUCUAGUAGCUGGUUCCUGCCGAAGUUUCCCUCAGGA
rnacentral:rRNA from 1 species